AGUGAACGCUGGCGGUAGGCCUAACACAUGCAAGUCGAACGGCAGCACAGUAAGAGCUUGCUCUUACGGGUGGCGAGUGGCGGACGGGUGAGGAAUACAUCGGAAUCUACUUUUUCGUGGGGGAUAACGUAGGGAAACUUACGCUAAUACCGCAUACUACCUACGGGUGAAAGCAGGGGAUCUUCGGACCUUGCGCGAUUCAAUUAGCCGAUGUCGGAUUAGCUAGUUGGCGGGGUAAAGGCCCACCAAGGCGACGAUCCGUAGCUGGUCUGAGAGGAUGAUCAGCCACACUGGAACUGAGACACGGUCCAGACUCCUACGGGAGGCAGCAGUGGGGAAUAUUGGACAAUGGGCGCAAGCCUGAUCCAGCCAUACCGCGUGGGUGAAGAAGGCCUUCGGGUUGUAAAGCCCUUUUGUUGGGAAAGAAAAGCAGCAGGUUAAUACCCCGCUGUUCUGACGGUACCCAAAGAAUAAGCACCGGCUAACUUCGUG
rnacentral:rRNA from 1 species